rnacentral:rRNA from 1 species
GGCACAUCCUCUGCUCUGAUGGACAUCAAGCCACGGGACAAUAAGACCGACAUGAAUAAGUUGGAGGAGUCUGUACGCAGUAUUCAAAUGGACGGUCUCACGUGGGGUGCUUCAACGGUUGUGCCGGUGGGUUAUGGCAUCAAGAAGCUCCAGAUCACGCUGAUGUUCAUGGAUGAUGUGGUGUCUGUUGAGACUCUGAUAGAUGAAGUUCUCUGUCAUGCACUCAGCAACGAUUAUGUCCAGUCCUGUGACAUUGUCGCCUUCAACAAAAUCUAG